GCGGGCGUAGCUCAAUUGGCUAGAGUACCACCUUGCCAAGGUGGAUGUUGACGGUUCGAAUCCGUUCGCCCGCACCA
rnacentral:tRNA from 1 species